GAUGCUCCUCUUUCUCCUCUUUGGGGUUCAGCUUUUGGGAUCAUUGUCGUAGUCGUCUGCCUCGCUGUCUGUAUUUGGUGGUUAAAGAGGAAACAUCAAACUCCCCAACAGAACCAGAGUCAAGGAGAUGGUGUACUGGCUACUUAUCAACCACCAAAUGAAACAGAGGAAACCAUCCAUUACGGGGAGAUCAACUUUUCAGUGCGAGGACCUGAACAGCUCUCUGUCUCAGUGCAGGACAGUGGACAGCAGCAGGAUACACUGUAUGCACAGGUCAAAGUGUCCAAGCCAGCAAGCAGCCGAACACAGCCUGCUGACGGUCCAGAAGAUAUCUACGCUCAAGUGAGGAAAAAAUGAGUGGAUUAAAUUCAUUUCAUUAAGUUUCAUUAUACAACUUUUUUUUGUUCCUUUUUUUUUUAACUUAUUACAGCUCAUGUUUUAUCUAGUUGAGCACAGCGUUAGGUCAGGAAGGCCACAAAGUCACACUCUACUAUCAUGCCAGAGUUUUAGUAACAGCUGAUCUCACGCAAACCUCAUCAGCUGAUGGCCAGCUGAUUUCU